GUGAACGCUGGCGGUAGGCCUAACACAUGCAAGUCGCACGGCAGCACAGUAAGAGCUUGCUCUUACGGGUGGCGAGUGGCGGACGGGCGAGGAAUACAUCGGAAUCUACUUUUUCGUGGGGGAUAACGUAGGGAAACUUACGCUAAUACCGCAUACGACCUACGGGUGAAAGCAGGGGAUCUUCGGACCUUGCGCGAUUGAAUGAGCCGAUGUCGGAUUAGCUAGUUGGCGGGGUAAAGGCCCACCAAGGCGACGAUCCGUAGCUGGUCUGAGAGGAUGAUCAGCCACACUGGAACUGAGACACGGUCCAGACUCCUACGGGAGGCAGCAGUGGGGAAUAUUGGACAAUGGGCGCAAGCCUGAUCCAGCCAUACCGCGUGGGUGAAGAAGGCCUUCGGGUUGUAAAGCCCUUUUGUUGGGAAAGAAAAGCAGCAGGUUAAUACCCCGCUGUUCUGACGGUACCCAAAGAAUAAGCACCGGCUAACUUCGUG
rnacentral:rRNA from 1 species